CCUUUUAUUUUUUAUUUGUAAGGCACCAGAAAUACUUCCUUACUGCUUAAACGUUUCAUUCAUUUGUAGUAGAUGUGUGUUUUUUAAACCUUUACAUUUUUUUUUUAAACCAAGCUAUAGUAUUGGUUUCACUGACACAAACAUACAUCUGCCAAGUACACACUUAACAUUUUACACACAACACAAAAUAAGAGAACUGAAAACCAAAAAACAAAACGAAGAACAUUACAAAGCUUGUAAAGUUAAGACGCUCCAUUCCUUUAUUGUUGUCGAAGCCAGUUUGAAUAUUUCACAAUGGUAGACUAUGCUAUUUGUAUUUACUGUUUAAAGUAGAACUGGUACCCACCUAAAAUCACGCUGCCUUCCAUUGUACAAGUAUGUGUUUAUUUUUUGUUUUCAAUUUCUCGUCGCAUCUAGGAGGGGCACCCCUCAAAAUAAAAAAUAAAAAUAAUAUCCUGAUCAGGAACAGGUCAAUCAGCUUUUUAUAUUUCUGCUAAAGAUUACAGAGAGAGGUGGAGAGUGGAGCUAGAGGAGAGGAGAGACGGAUACAGAGAGGGGGAGAGACCGAUACAGAAUGGAGGAGAGACGGAUACAGAGAGGUGGAGAGAUCCAGAGAGGUGGAGAGAUAGAGAGGUGGAGAGAGAUACAGAGAGGAGGAGAGAGAUACAGAGAGGAGGAGAGAUAGAGAGGUGGAGAGAUAGAGGUGGAGAGACUGAUACAGAGCGGAGGAGAGAUAGAGUGUACCUAGAGAGAGCGGUAGAGACGGAUACAGAGCAGAGGAGAGACAUACAGAAUGGAGGAGAGAUACAGAGAGGAGGAGAGACAGAUACAGAAUGGAGGAGAGAUAGAGAGAGGAGGAGAGACGGAUACAGAGCGCUGGAGAGGCAGUGGUAUUUGACAUGCUGGAUCGAGACCCUUGAUGUUUGGGAAUGUGGUCAU